UACAGAGGUCCCAAGCGUUGUUCGGAAUUACUGGGCGUAAAGGGCGCGUAGGCGGCCUUCUAAGUCGAACGUGAAAUCCCCGGGCUUAACCCGGGAACUGCGUCCGAUACUGGAAGGCUUGAAUCCGGGAGAGGGAUGCGGAAUUCCAGGUGUAGCGGUGAAAUGCGUAGAUAUCUGGAGGAACACCGAUGGCGAAGGCAGCCCCCUGGGCUAACACUGACGCUCAUGCACGAAAGCGUGGGGAGCAAACAGG
rnacentral:rRNA from 1 species